AGUUCGAUCAUGGCUCAGGAUGAACGCCGGCGGUGUGCCUGAUACAUGCAAGUCGUACGCACUGGCCCAACUGAUUGAUGGUGCUUGCACCUGAUUGACGAUGGAUCACCAGUGAGUGGCGGACGGGUGAGUAACACGUAGGUAACCUGCCCCGGAGCGGGGGAUAACAUUUGGAAACAGAUGCUAAUACCGCAUAACAACAAAAGCCACAUGGCUUUUGUUUGAAAGAUGGCUUUGGCUAUCACUCUGGGAUGGACCUGCGGUGCAUUAGCUAGUUGGUAAGGUAACGGCUUACCAAGGCGAUGAUGCAUAGCCGAGUUGAGAGACUGAUCGGCCACAAUGGAACUGAGACACGGUCCAUACUCCUACGGGAGGCAGCAGUAGGGAAUCUUCCACAAUGGGCGCAAGCCUGAUGGAGCAACACCGCGUGAGUGAAGAAGGGUUUCGGCUCGUAAAGCUCUGUUGUUGGAGAAGAACGUGCGUGAGAGUAACUGUUCACGCAGUGACGGUAUCCAACCAGAAAGUCACGGCUAACUACGUGCCAGCAGCCGCGGUAAUACGUAGGUGGCAAGCGUUAUCCGGAUUUAUUGGGCGUAAAGCGAGCGCAGGCGGUUGCUUAGGUCUGAUGUGAAAGCCUUCGGCUUAACCGAAGAAGUGCAUCGGAAACCGGGCGACUUGAGUGCAGAAGAGGACAGUGGAACUCCAUGUGUAGCGGUGGAAUGCGUAGAUAUAUGGAAGAACACCAGUGGCGAAGGCGGCUGUCUGGUCUGCAACUGACGCUGAGGCUCGAAAGCAUGGGUAGCGAACAGGAUUAGAUACCCUGGUAGUCCAUGCCGUAAACGAUGAGUGCUAGGUGUUGGAGGGUUUCCGCCUUUCAGUGCCGGAGCUAACGCAUUAAGCACUCCGCCUGGGGAGUACGACCGCAAGGUUGAAACUCAAAGGAAUUGACGGGGGCCCGCACAAGCGGUGGAGCAUGUGGUUUAAUUCGAAGCUACGCGAAGAACCUUACCAGGUCUUGACAUCUUGCGCUAACCUUAGAGAUAAGGCGUUCCCUUCGGGGACGCAAUGACAGGUGGUGCAUGGUCGUCGUCAGCUCGUGUCGUGAGAUGUUGGGUUAAGUCCCGCAACGAGCGCAACCCUUGUUACUAGUUGCCAGCAUUAAGUUGGGCACUCUAGUGAGACUGCCGGUGACAAACCGGAGGAAGGUGGGGACGACGUCAGAUCAUCAUGCCCCUUAUGACCUGGGCUACACACGUGCUACAAUGGACGGUACAACGAGUCGCAAGCUCGCGAGAGUAAGCUAAUCUCUUAAAGCCGUUCUCAGUUCGGACUGUAGGCUGCAACUCGCCUACACGAAGUCGGAAUCGCUAGUAAUCGCGGAUCAGCAUGCCGCGGUGAAUACGUUCCCGGGCCUUGUACACACCGCCCGUCACACCAUGGGAGUUUGUAACGCCCAAAGUCGGUGGCCUAACCUUUAUGGAGGGAGCCGCCUAAGGCGGGACAGAUGACUGGGGUGAAGUCGUAACAAGGUACCC
rnacentral:rRNA from 1 species